rnacentral:lncRNA from 1 species
AUGAAAGAAUACAAUGAGAUCUGUGUCGCGAUGGUGGAGCUUUUCAAGGGUGGGGUAGAUUGAUGAGGUUUCGUAAGUGGAGAUUCUGACGAUCUAGGGCUUAAACAAGCUUUCUACAGAAAUCCAGCAACGACGUAUGAUGUCAAGUUAUGAAUUAAUCAUCGAUUAGGAAAAAGAAGUAGAACUUCUUAUGCCAAACAAGGAAUUAUACGAGGAAAAAG